GACCGGAUGGUUAGAAGAUAAACCCCCACACGUCUGUGGUCCCCACCACCACGCCACUUCCCCCCUUCAGCGCAGGGCACGAAAAGCAGGGACACGAGAAGUGGCAUCCUCCUUGGGAGAAAAGUCGACGUAAAAAGGGCGUCACUAGUCGAGAAACCUCCGUUUCAGCAACAGCUUACAACAAGGGACCCUAUCAAAGAUGCAUGAGAGGAAACACUCCGGCUCCUACGAGGUGACCGAUCGGCCUCGCAUCAUUCAAGAGACAGGCUGGUGUCCCACUCGCAACUUUCCGGUGUGCAUGGCAACGCUGUGCUCCUGCAUCAUCUACUUCAUCGGUGCCAUCAUUACUGGCAUCGCAUACCGCGUCCACUCUGUCAAAGUUGAAUGCAAAUAUGCAGACACAUAUCAGCCCAUACAAGAGACUGUUUUCCUGUCACCAUUGGUGGUGGUGGGUCCCUGCCUUAUGUCUUCUGGGGGAACCCUCUUUCUGUACCUUGUGUUUCAGUGGUUUCUGUGCCGUCCUAUGGUCAAGUAACACACCUGCUUUUGGAGGAAAAAUUUUCAUGAUCUUUUAACUAUCUUAACAGAUACACAAUACAUCACUGUAUCUCAUCAACCCAUUAGCACACAUGGGGACAUUUUCAAAUAUUGGAGUUCAUUAUAUAGAUCACAGUUCUUAAUGUAUGAAAUGUUAGCAAAUCCUUACUAUAAUAUCAUGAGAAAUAAACAUACUGUACAAUUUUAUA